CGAGUAUAUUAAAUUUGUAUAACCUAUUGCUAUUUGACAAGACGAUUCAAAGCAGAGAACUUAAAACGAUAAUUUUGAUAAAAUUUUUUUUCGUGAUUUUUUUUUUAUAUAAUAUAUAAUACAAUAAACAUAUUAUUAUACGAUCUCGAUUUUUGAUUUAAUUAAAACAAUAUAAUAAAUAAUAAUGAAUAAACAUAAUAUCUAUAACGUAAAUAAUAAGUUAAAACUAAUGAAAUCGUUAAUGUUGGCUGGACACAAACCUUUACAACUAUCGAGGUGACGAUAGAUCGAUCUAUGGUACCUAAGCUAUAUUCACAUGUACCCUAAUAACAAUAAUACAGUAAAACCUUCUUGUGACAAAUUCGCUCGGGAGUCGGGAGCAACUUAUUUUUCCGUUGUAUGGAGUGUAAAAUAUACUGAAUGGUAUCCGUCAUAUGGAGAUUUUGCUGUACCUAUAACGCACGUGAUAUAACUAAUUAUUAUAAUGUAUAAUGUAUGGGAUGUUUUUCGCAAAAACCAGUUCAACGUACCACAGGCAUAAUAAAUAGAAAAUAAAUUAAAUAUCCUUGGAAACAGAGUUAGUGGUAGCAGGUGAUCAUGACGAGGUUCCGAAUGAAACCUAUUAUACAGAAGAGCUAUACUUCCAGCGUUUUUAAAAAAUGUUAUUUGUAUGAUAAAAAAUAAAUAUUUUAUUAUUUA